rnacentral:lncRNA from 1 species
GGAGUUUUCAGUUCCUUUGGUUGAAAAGGCUGGUUUGAGGAAACUGAAACUUCUUUUUUUUUUUUUUUUUUUGCAGGCGGGUAUCGAUUUCAAAGACACUUUCAUCAGAAGAGAUUUGUCAGCCGUCGGAUGGAAUUUCUGGUCGCGACCAGGAGGAGAUGGCAAGGUUGGAGUAUCAGGUAGCGCCACCGGCGGGGAACUCACCAGGAAUGUGGAAAAUCAAGGUUCAGGCCUAGGGACUUGAACGUGAGAUGUGCAGAGAUCCCGGUCAGGCGUUGAAAAUAAGGAAAAGAGAGGAAGAAAACCACAAAGAAAGAGGCAUACAAAAAGUUUAAAAAAGCUAUAUAUAUAUUUAUAUAUAUACGGAGAUGGAGGUGAACCCAAACACUCAGAGGUAAUUUGCCUUGAGGAGCAAGAGCCCUUGAGACCUAUGUGUGGACUUUGGAAAAAAGAAUCUGUGAACAAUAGUAAAGGAUAUGGACGUGCCAUCCUCUGACAGUGUAUGAAAGCAUCAGGGAGACUACAUACUUCUCUGUGAGAGUGCAGGGAAGAGGAUGCUUGCUUUGUUCGCUC